rnacentral:tRNA from 1 species
UCCCUGGUGGCUCAGAUGGUAAAGCGUCUGCCUAUAAUGCGGGAGACCCAGGUUCGAUCCCUGGGUUGGGAA